rnacentral:rRNA from 1 species
CUGAGUACGGCGGAACACGUGAAAUUCCGUCGGAAUCCGGGAGGACCAUCUCCCAAGGCUAAAUACUCCCUAGUGACCGAUAGUGAACCAGUACCGUGAGGGAAAGGUGAAAAGCACCCCGGAAGGGGAGUGAAACAGUUCCUGAAACCGUGUGCCUACAAGUAGUUAGAGCCCGUUAAUGGGUGAUAGCGUGCCUUUUGUAGAAUGAACCGGCGAGUUACGAUUUGUUGCAAGGUUAAGCGGAAAAAGCGGAGCCGUAGCGAAAGCGAGUCUGAAUAGGGCGCAUAAGUAACAGGUCGUAGACCCGAAACCAGGUGAUCUACCCAUGUCCAGGAUGAAGGUAAGGUAAUACUUACUGGAGGUCCGAACCCACGCACGUUGAAAAGUGCGGGGAUGAGGUGUGGGUAGCGGAGAAAUUCCAAUCGAACUUGGAGAUAGCUGGUUCUCUCCGAAAUAGCUUUAGGGCUAGCCUCGAGGUAAAGAGUCAUGGAGGUAGAGCACUGUUUGGACUAGGGGCCCUUCUCGGGUUACCGAAUUCAGAUAAACUCCGAAUGCCAUGUACUUAUACUCGGGAGUCAGACUGCGAGUGAUAAGAUCCGUAGUCGAAAGGGAAACAGCCCAGACCACCAGUUAAGGUCCCCAAAUAUAUGUUAAGUGGAAAAGGAUGUGGGGUUGCUUAGACAACCAGGAUGUUGGCUUAGAAGCAGCCACCAUUGAAAGAGUGCGUAAUAGCUCACUGGUCGAGUGACCCCGCGCCGAAAAUGUACCGGGGCUAAACAUAUUACCGAAACUGUGGAUGAACCUCUUUAGAGGUUCGUGGUAGGAGAGCGUUCUAAGGGCGGUGAAGUCAGACCGGAAGGACUGGUGGAGCGCUUAGAAGUGAGAAUGCCGGUAUGAGUAGCGAAAGAAGGGUGAGAAUCCCUUCCACCGAAUAUCUAAGGUUUCCUGAGGAAGGCUCGUCCGCUCAGGGUUAGUCGGGACCUAAGCCGAGGCCGAUAGGCGUAGGCGAUGGACAACAGGUAGAGAUUCCUGUACCAGUGCUAAUUGUUUAACCGAUGGGGUGACACAGAAGGAUAGGGAAUCGCACGAAUGGAAAUGUGCGUCCAAGCAGUGAGUGUGAGAAGUAGGCAAAUCCGCUUCUCGCGAAGCAUGAGCUGUGAUGGGGAAGGAAAUUAAGUACGGAAGUUCCUGAUUUCACGCUGUCAAGAAAAGCCUCUAGGAAGAGUAGUACUGCCCGUACCGCAAACCGACACAGGUAGAUGAGGAGAGAAUCCUAAGGUGAGCGAGAGAACUCUCGUUAAGGAACUCGGCAAAAUGACCCCGUAACUUCGGGAGAAGGGGUGCUCUAUUAGGGUGCAAGCCCGAGAGAGCCGCAGUGAAUAGGCCCAGGCGACUGUUUAGCAAAAACACAGGUCUCUGCAAAACCGUAAGGUGACGUAUAGGGGCUGACGCCUGCCCGGUGCUGGAAGGUUAAGAGGAGUGCUUAGCUUCGGCGAAGGUACGAAUUGAAGCCCCAGUAAACGGCGGCCGUAACUAUAACGGUCCUAA